GGCGAUUGCCUACGGGACAGAGUUGGGGGUGGGUAGACCGCUUCCCGCGCGUUCGAGACGGGUUGGGGAGGAGCGCUUCACUCCCUCACCUUCCUCCCCGCGGCCUCCACCGUGUCUCUCACCGACUCGCGGGGAGCCCCCGAAACCUCCGGUGCUUGUUCACGCACUUCCAGAGACUGGCAGCACAUCACCAUCACCUCUUGAAAACAUUAUUCACAAUAGCCAAGAUAUGGAAACAACCUACGGCCCACCAACAGAUGAAUUGUUAAGAAGUUGUGGUAUAAUACACACAAAUGGAAUAUUAUUAAGUCAUGACAAAGAAGGACAUCUUGUCAUUUGUGAUAACCUGGAUGAAUCUUGAGGACAUUAUGCUAAGUGAGGAUUGAAAUGGAAAACUGGAAAAGUUGAUGAAUUUAUGCUCACAAAACCAGGUCGAAAAGCCAGGGCAGCUAUGACAAGGUUGAAGUUCAUCCAUCAGAAGUGAAUGAAACAGAGGGGUCAACCUCCCUAAUCAUUUUGAUCACCAGGAUAAUGAUGACUGACCAAUUAGACUAGUCAUUGAUAUCCAGCAUAAAGAUGGCCAUAACAGAUGUGAUCAUCCCCACUACAGAUAAUUUAAUGGAAAACAACAACCAUUAAUAACACGACUGGAAGUAAGGAAACGUGGAUUUAGACUCCUGCCAAUGACAAGGAAUAUGAUCUAAAGUUAAUCACUCAAUCUUUCUGAGCCCUAGUUGCCACUUCUGUGAAAUUGUGGUUGGGAGUAAAUGACUUUCAUGUUUCUUAUUUGGCAUCAUUGCUGAUUCCUCUUCCAGCCAUGCCUUCAAGUGAUGGAGCUGAGGGUUUUCAUACUGGUAGAGAUGUCAGUUUGGAGCUGCUGGUAGCCAUCUUGGUAUCAUAAGGGGAGAAUCUACCUGAAAGAAAAACCAACAAAGAGAAAAAGUAGAGCUAUGAGUUGGAAAGACAGAGAGAUGUUUAUUUUCCAAGGAAGAUUUCACUCAGAUGGAGUAAUCUGUUUCCUGAGAGAGUUGAGGAAUUCUCUUGGGGUCUCUUGAGAAUCUAGUUGAAGAGAGGAGCACCAAUCUACCAAAAUUUUCUCAUUCCACAAACAGGGAGCCACUUAAAUGCACAAGGACUCUGCCAAGUGCCAAACACAGUUUCUGAUCUCCAGUGGGCAAACCAAGGAGGAAGGAAUGAUUGGUCACUAUGGAAUCACAGCUGAGAUUACACACCAGAGGCCUUACCUGAAACUUGAACACUGGGGAGAGGCUGUUCCAAACAAAACUACCAAAGCUCAGAGCCAGAGAUGCCCUGGUGACAAAGGCUUUUAAAUCCAGUCGAAACGGAGAACUGCAUAAAGCAGCAGAAGGGUCAGCUGCAAGGGGUGCCCUGCCUCUCAGCACAGGGUAACCAGAUUCCCUGCAGUACUUGGGGAGAGACACCAGGAGCACUACCUUCAGCCAGUUUCCUUGAAUCUUCUGGGACAGAUGACCAGCUCUUGGAGCCGAAGAAGAGAAGGGGUGUCUUUCAGAAAGAGGAGUGCCUCUCCCGUAAGCAAAGCUGGCAGAAGAGCUGGCUCAGGAACCCUGAUGUCAUAUGUUGCCCUGGACAGAGGCAAAAGAUGGAGCAGCAGCAGAGGAGAAAUGCUUUUCUUCGGGCCCCCAGAAAUAUCCCACACUGGGGACAACAUCUCAGUGGCUAUAGGCACACAACGGAAUAUUACUCAGCCAUAAAAAGAGUGAAAUAAUGCCAUUUGCAGCAACAUGGAUGGACCUAGAGAUUAUCACACUAAGUGAACAGGAAUCACCCACCUACCUCUUGGAAGUAAAGAAAGAGAAGGAAAGGAGAGGAACCGUUUGGACUGGAUGAGACCUGAAUCUUCCUCCAGAAUGAGCAUCAUCUUGGCCAGCAUUGGCCCAGCCAGGCUUCUCACCAUCAGAUGUGUGUCCAGAUGAGCCCCAGAGAUCUCCUCCAGGCCUCUCCACGCAGAGUGCUUGUGUGCUUAAUAUCUGCAAAGCCAUGUUCGCUGCCUUGAGCGAGGAGACGCAGGGUCAGGCACGGCAGCAACGGAUGUUCAUCCUCCCAACACGGUAUCAGGCAACAUGUUUGGCCACUACAGUUGUCUCACAGCAGCUAAUUCAGAAGCCAGCUCUGGCUGCCGUGCGUCCUUGAUGGGAAAUGCCUCCAGUCCUACGCUUGCAAUCAGGUCAACCAAAGGUUCACUUCCCAGCACAUUUGGAAGAAUGGCCUUCUUUUAAAAGUUGGAAAAACUGAGUCAGAGAGAGGUGAAGAUGAAGUUCACACAUCUGUCAGCACCAUCAUCAACAUUACCAUCAUGUCUCUUGUCUGUAAUAAAUGGUGAAUAGGAUAGACAACAUUUCUAGAAACAUGUAUUUCAUAAAUGUGGACAGAUUAUUAAGGACAAAUAUAUUAAUGUGAAAUAACUUAACAGAUGAAUUACAUGUAAUUUGCAUUUUUUGCAAGUAAAUAAUAGUAAUAUCUAUUUGCUUAGCCUUAUACAGCUAAAAAAUGUUUCCCAUAUAUAAGCUUAGAAAAAGUUCUUAACGUGAGUAAAUAUGGGCAUUCCCUGUUCAGAGAACAGUAGAGUCAUAGAGCGUGUCUGGGCCAAAGUUCCUGGGCGAGUGGGUGCCAGAAUCAGGACUAAAACUCUGCCUUCUAACCAGAGACCACCUCCUCUUUAUUUCCUCCUGCUUCUGUGAGCAGGAAGGCGAUACAGGAACUUCAUGUCGAGAGCCUGGAUUAAGUGACAUUUCACUUCAUGGAGAAGUCUUCCUAGAGGGAUUUGAGAAGUUCUAGGGAACCUUGUUAUUUUGAGACAAUAUGUUUUCUUCAAACCAAGGAACACCAUUUGAGGACGUUUAGUAAAAGAAGUUCUGGGGAAAGCCCAGUGGUGGCAGAAGUGGUGGUGGAGGACUUUCCCCACUUGUCAUCUUCCAUUUACAUUUAGAUAAGGCCUGGUGGAGAAUUGUAUAGCCAGUUGCAAGGAUAAGUUUAAGUUGGUGUGAUCUGAAACACAGCCAGUUCAUUUCUUUCUAAAAGGCAGAGGCACGGUAUCUAAGACUUGUAUCUUGAAAUGUAUGUGAGAACCUUCUAGCCCUGAGAGUUCCCAUCAGGUUAGGAGGUCACAGCUCUUCGAACACGAACCGCAGCUUCGCGAUCAGUAUAAAAGUCUACAAUUACAACCAUUCUUUGGAAUCCUCUCAGUCAAGGAGGACAUUCCUUGGCUGGUUUAGAAAAACCAGUGCAGAUUUGCACUGGGAAAGGAAUGCAGUCUGGAAGAAUGGCCAAUGAUUUACAGAUUAAGUCUCCUAUUAACUAAGAAAGAAUAAGGAAAGGAGGUUUGAAAACUAUUCUGCCACCCCGCCUCGAAAUGUUUACAGGAGAAGCAGUGUGAGUGACAAGGUGGGGAGGUGGCAGACGCACUGAAUGGGACACAGAACUGAAUGGUGGAACCAGGAGUGACCUGGCAUCAUCAUCGGGAUCCCUUAGGUCUUCACAGCAGUUGUGACUUUCGGAGAUGAUUCAGUUCUUAUUAUCUCAGUGGGUUCAAAAUUAUUAAAGACUCUGUGGGUCCAGGCAGAGAGGCACCAUUUCCAUCUUAUAGAUAAGGACACUGAGUUUCGGCGAGGUCAGGCGUUUUAUCCAGGCAAGUCUGAAGUGGAUGAGCCGCCUCCUGGUUUCGGGGCCUGACUUCUGAUUGCCACUAGGCACCUGCCUCUCUGCAGGAGGAGAAAGUCUUGACCCGUAACCUGGGGAAAUGGGAUUGCCCGAGUGAGGCGUGAGGGGGUGGAGUUUCUCUAACUGCUCCUCAGAAGAAGGAUGCUGAGUGGGGAAGACAGUGGCUGGCAGGCCUGGUGCCAGGGACUCCGGGAGGAAGGGGCUGGAGAGGUCCAGGAGAAACACGGGCAGGAACUGGACUGAGACAGCAUUUGAAAGAUGAACAAGGAGAUGGAAGUUUGGAGAUGGAAAGGAAAAGGCAAGCUCCAGCAGUUGACAAUGGAAAGGCAACGGCCUGUGGGAAAUAACUCAGAGAUUUCCUGCUUGUGAAGCCAGUGCUGUGCUGUCAUGGCCACUGCUCCCGGCAGGUGACACGGAGAGAUGCCUUGUGCCAGGCGUGUCGGGGGCCAGGAGGGCCCAGAACUCCUGACUCGGGUGUCAGAGGAGGUGUCCGAGGCCCGCCCCGCGCUCACCUCCUGGAUGUUCUGCUUCGCCCGGCUGUCAGAGGGAUGCAUAAUCGUCCCCAUCACUUUCAUGUUGCCACAGACAACCAGGGCUUCGUCCGGUGCAUCUGUGUUUAUGCCCACUCGACCAUGACAAACAACAGAUUCUGGAACUUGUCCUCGCUGCCAUAAUGCAUCAAUGUCAUUUUCAAAUUGCCCAGGGUUGGAGGCCUGGAGAAAAUACAUAAAUAUAUUACAAUUAAAGUUACAGAUGCAGGAAUAGAUGAUCGCUUUAUUCCUCAAAGGAAAACAGAAUGUUAGCCAAGUCUUUCACUUGAGAAUCACAUGUUGGAUGGGACACUCUGACAUAUCCGAAUAACUGUGACCCCAGGAGAGCCAGGGAGGCUCUCCUAACUGUUCUGCCCCCACCAGCAGAAGCUCAGCGUGUCAUGGUUUGCAAUGUCCAGUCUAUAUGGAAUUGAGAAUGUGUCAGUUAUAGUAGGUGGAUGAUAAGGAGAAGAAGAACACUCAAAAUGAGUAUUUUUUCAGGGAGAAUAAUAAUAAUGAUUUAAAACUAGAAUAUUACAUCAGAAAAUCUCACAAGUUUAUUAAAGCUCAGAUAAUUUCAAAAAAACCCUUGCAUUUAGCUAGCCCUUCCAUAGUUUCAAAACACCUUCAUGUUUAUGAUUUCAUACACAAUUGACAAGCAAAUGACAAUACAAACAUAUUUAGUACACCUCAGCUAUUCCCUAAACACAGAUGAUUCUGACAGAAGAACUGUAACAGCUGCAUUUGCUGUGUGCUAAUCCACACCCCAAUUCCAUGCGAUAGGACCAUCAUCUUCCUUUUACUGACGCUGAGACUCUGAAAGAAUAAACAGAUUGCCCCAGGCCACAAAGCUAAUGAGUUCUAGAGCUGCGAUUAUGCUUCCUUUGAUGAUUAAAUAAUGAUUCUAACUUUGAGUUUUGUGGUAUUGCCUAAAAAAGCCCUGGCCAAAUGCAGUCUUCAAAGAAAAUCCAAGUGAAUCUAUCAGACUAGAGAAAGUUCUGGAGAUUUUACUGUUAAAUACAUUUUUUUUGCCAAAGAAUUUUCCACUGUACUGCCUUCCCUCCUCCCCAUUUCCCUGUUGCCACUGAAUAUAUUUCCACAUAUCUUUAAGUAAGGAUCUAUGAAUCCACCAAAAUCCUCACAACGAAAUUAAUUUGUUUUUUAAAUUAUGACCUAUCCUCCUCUUACUCUCUUGGUAUUAUUUGAAUGUUUUUACCAUAGGCAUGCGUUACCAAUUUACAAAUAAUAAUUAAAAGAAAUCUCAAAGUUCAGAUCUAAGUUUGGGUUCAGUUAAAAAACUUAGGUGUGUGCAACCUCCUGUUUCAUUCCUACCUGUCUGAACCCUGAGCUGCUUGGAAGACUCAACUAUUGACACUGGAUAGACAAAAGCAGGGAAAGAAUAUAAAGUAACAACUUUGAACAUUAUUUUGUGUGAAUUCACUUGAACAAAGAGCUUUUCCGCAAGAUCCCUAGAGCCUCCUUGGUGGUGAAUGGCAAAUUGGCUUUGACUCAAAUCCUUUUAUAGCGAGCAAUCAACUAAAUCCAAAGGUAUGCCAUAUAAAAUGUUGAUGCAUUUUCCUCUGCUCUGAACAUAAUGAGCCACUUCAAGGAAGAGAACAGGACAGUGAUGGAUUUUCUUUUUCUUAAUGAGCUUUGGGAUAAUUAUUAUCCUGUUUGUAACCUGACAGUACUGGAACAGCAGAUAUAAGUAGAUUCGAUUUUGGGGAACAAUUACAACCAUCUCACUUGGAUUUCAUCAAAUGAAAACUCAAAUCUCUAAAACAUGUUCAAAUCAUUUUGGAAAGGGUCACAUAUCUACAAUGGUUUAAAUAUAGAGCCCUAAGGAGGAGUCCUCGUCAGUAAUGCGAAAUGUUAUUAUAAAAUGUGUGAACUUAUUUCCCUUCUCUGGUAUCCAGAAUGUUAAUGGGUCAAAGCAAACUGAAAUGGAAUCACAGAAAAACAUUCUGGAGUCAUGAAGUUGUGUUCAGAUGUGGCCCAAUAGUGGUUGAUUGCUAUCAAACAUCAGAAUGAAUUACAGUUUCUAAAAUACUUUUAUUAUUCAUCACACAGCCUCAUAUAUUUAGGGAAGACCCGAACAUUCUAGUCUAUAUUGUGACACAACCUAGCUGUGUGACUUUGGGACAGUUACUUGACCUUUCUGUACCAGUUUUCUCCCCUGAAGAAUAAAGAUAAUAGUGUCUUCUUUACCUAUCUCUCACAGGGCUGUGGGAAUUAAAUGAAAUCACGUAUGCAUGCACACUUUGUAAAAAUGAGGAUGCAUAGUCUCAAGUUCAUCCUCCACACACUCUGCUGUGCAGAGUAACAACCAUUCAACCUACACUCAAUGAAUCUGCUCUCAGUAACGCAUCUGCAGAGCUGCACAAUUCCAAGGGAACUCUGUUCACAAAGAAUACAAUGUAAAUGGUGCCCCCUGCAGAUGCUUGGAAUAGGAAACACUAGUAGUAAUUUGAGGCCAUUCAAGUUUGGAAUGGAAAGCUGGAAUUUCUUUGCUUUACCAUUGUUUGGGCUUCUGAAGAGCAGUCAAAGAGCAUAAUAGGAAAGCUUGAGCUGAGGAAGGCAGUUCAUAAGAAAUUCAUUCUUGUACCUUGUGCAAAGACUAUCGAAAAUGGGCCUAGAAAUGCUAUCUACCGAUGCUACUCUAAGUGUGGUCCACAGGCCAGCAGUAUCGGCGUCUCCAGGAAGCUUGUUAGAAAUGCAUAUUCUCAGACAUCUCCAACCUACUGAAUCAAAAAUUGUGGAGGUGGGACCCAGGUAUCUGUGUUUUCACAAGCUCUCCAGGGUAUUCUUAUUCUCCAUAAAGUUUAAGAAGGACUUCUUUAUGUCAUACACUACUUCCAUGCUACUACUGUGAAAGGGGUCAUGAGUUACCCCUUUCAUAGUUAGUAGACAGUUCUGUUGAAUCCCAACUGCAGAGUGAAACAGACAUUGCUCCACACACUGAUUCCUUUGGGUAAAUAAAAAUUCAACUGAACUCCAGAGGAGGUGUGCGUGUGUGCGCGUGCGUGUAUGUGUGUAGCUCUAGUGUGUUGGGAAAGGGAAGGGAGAUUUGUGGUCAGAAAUGGGCAAGAGCCAGUGAAAACUGAGAUGGCACCUGAAAUGGCUCUGCUCUCCCUCCAUACCUUGCCAUCCUUGAAAUUGCAUCGCUUCCCUUGUCUCUCCUGGCCCUUGGUGUUGGUUUCCCACCUUCACGACCCUGCGGUUGCAGAGCAAUA